GAACCAGACUGAAGCACUAUAUGUAUGUGUAUCCUUAAUUUCCCUCCCUACACGUGCAUGCAUUGAGCAAUAAUAAUAUAUGCAUGUUUAAGCAGCAGAGUUACUUGACAGGUGUCAAGACCUUGUAGUGUCAGGUGUGUGCCAAUCACAAAAGUCUUCCAAGAAAAUUAAAACAUCAGGGAAUGGUCUAGUGCUUUUUGGCCAUAAAACAACUUAUGUAGAUAGGUAUACAAACAUAACAUACAAUAAUUGCUAUAUUCUAGGAAAACAAGAAAGUAAAGCAUAAGGUGGCCAUGAAUGAUUGUAAUAAAAUGUUCAAGAUGGGAAACUAGAAGAAAUUAAACGAUUCUAGCUAGAAGAGGUCUAGUAUGAAAUGACAAUGUAAAGGUCAAUUUUGAGGUGUUGGGAAAAUUUUUCAAGAAAAUCACAGAAAUCGAAGAAAUUUAAAGGAGCCAAGACCCUGUUCUCUAGAGAGAUUAAUUGGUAGUGUGGGAUUGGGAAGAGCAACAAUGGUGAGUUUAAAAGAAAGAAAGUAGCGGUGCUCUAGCUAGAGUAACUACUCAACUAAAUUAUAGACUUGCAAGCCAACUAGAUUUUUGUCAUGUGAGGGAGUAAGCAAGAAUAUUGAUUAAAAUCUUGCAUAGCCAUGUGCGGUUAGCUGGUUAGUAUAAGAGAAGCAUCUGUUUUCAUGUAAGCUUAUGCUCAUAAUGAAGUGAAGUGAACAUUGAUAUAAAAUUUUUAUUCUAUAUAUAUAUUUUUAUUUAUUUAUUUAAAAAAUGCUUUGAAAUCCCAAUCAAAUACAAAAACAAAAUUGUAAGUUAUCGGAGUUGCUAGCACCGUAACUCGAUGAAUAUCUCUCUUACCAUAAAACCUUGCUAAGACGUACAAACUUCGAGUCUCUGUCAAGCUAUCUACAUGUGUGUGAGUAUUAGAUUUCUACAAUUAUCUGGUACCAACGGAAUAUAACAUUAGUUAAGAUGUCAAUUUAGUGAGUUAGAUGUUGAGAUUAUGAUAACUCGGAGGGGCAGGGCCAGCUUCAUCUGCUUUUAGUUAUUAAUUAUAAGUAGUUGGUUCAUUCAUCAUGUGGCUAUGGCUAUUAGCUAAGCUGGAGAGUUGGAUUUGUUGUCUAUUGUGUUAGAUAUAAUUGAUGAUUACUAAUGUUCUUAAAGUUUGUUUUAGAACAGGAGUGAUCAGAGUUUAAGCUGGAAGCUGAUCAGAGUUUGAUGUAGCUGAUCAGAGUUUAGUAAAGUCUGACCAGAGUUUGAUAAAGUCUGAUCAGAGUUUACAUAGUCAAGACUCGUCAGAGUUUACACGUGGAAAGAGCUCAGAAGCGGAUAUACUUCAAGGAAGGAUAGAAGCGGAGGAGUGAUUUGCUGACUAUGGAAACUAAAACAGAAAACUGGAGCAAUCUUUGAUUGAUAGAAUACAUAGCUGAUUUAUAGGAUAUCAAAUCAGAGAUUGAUUUUUGUAACUGUGUCUAUAUAAAAUCCCUCAAGCAACAAGCUAGAACCAGACUGAAGCACUAUAUGUAUGUGUAUCCUUAAUUUCCCUCCCUACACGUGCAUGCAUUGAGCAAUAAUAAUAUAUGCAUGUUUAAGCAGCAGAGUUACUUGACAGGUGUCAAGACCUUGUAGUGUCAGGUGUGUGCCAAUCACAAAAGUCUUCCAAGAAAAUUAAAACAUCAGGGAAUGGUCUAGUGCUUUUUGGCCAUAAAACAACUUAUGUAGAUAGGUAUACAAACAUAACAUACAAUAAUUGCUAUAUUCUAGGAAAACAAGAAAGUAAAGCAUAAGGUGGCCAUGAAUGAUUGUAAUAAAAUGUUCAAGAUGGGAAACUAGAAGAAAUUAAACGAUUCUAGCUAGAAGAGGUCUAGUAUGAAAUGACAAUGUAAAGGUCAAUUUUGAGGUGUUGGGAAAAUUUUUCAAGAAAAUCACAGAAAUCGAAGAAAUUUAAAGGAGCCAAGACCCUGUUC
rnacentral:lncRNA from 1 species